rnacentral:rRNA from 1 species
ACGGGAGGCAGCAGUAGGGAAUAUUAGGCAAUGGGGGCAACCCUGACCUAGCAACGCCGCGUGAAGGAAGAAGGCCUUCGGGUUGUAAACUUCUUUUAUAGGGGACGAAACAAAUGACGGUACCCUAUGAAUAAGCCACGGCUAACUACGUGCCAGCAGCCGCGGUAAUACGUAGGGAGCAAGCGUUAUCCGGAAUUACUGGGUGUAAAGGGAGUGUAGGCGGGACUGUAAGUCAGAUGUGAAAUAUGCCGGCUCAACUGGCAGACUGCAUUUGAAACUGCGGUUCUUGAGUGAAGUAGAGGUAAGCGGAAUUCCUAGUGUAGCGGUGAAAUGCGUAGAUAUUAGGAGGAACAUCAGUGGCGAAGGCGGCUUACUGGGCUUUAACUGACGCUGAGGCUCGAAAGCGUGGGGAGCAAACAGGAUUAGAUACCCUGGUA